rnacentral:rRNA from 1 species
CCUACGGGUGGCAGCAGUAGGGAAUAUUGCUCAAUGGGGGAAACCCUGAAGCAGCAACGCCGCGUGGAGGAUGAAGGUUUUCGGAUUGUAAACUCCUUUUGUUAGAGAAGAGAAUUACGGUACCUAACGAAUAAUCACCGGCUAAAUCCGGUCCAGCAGCCGCGGGAAUACGGAGGGCGCAAGCGUUAUUCGGAAUCACCGGGCGUAAAGGGCGCGUAGGCGGGAUAGCAAGUCAGGUGUGAAAUCCUGUGGCUUAACCAUAGAACUGCAUUUGAAACUGUUAUUCUAGAGUAUGGGAGAGGUAGGUGGAAUUCUUGGUGUAGGGGUGAAAUCCGUAGAGAUCAGGAGGAAUACUCAUUGCGAAGGCGACCUGCUAGAACAUAACUGACGCUGAUGCGCGAAAGCGUGGGGAGCAAACAGGAUUAGAUACCCUAGUAGUC